GCUCAUACCCUUCCUGCUCUUCAAGUGGUAGAAAUCAAUUAGAUCAUCUGGCUGAGCAUGAGAUAUCUGGGACUUUGCUUUAAUCUCCUCAGUCUCCCUGAACUGUUUCUCUGCGAGCAUCUUUGCAAAGCUCUGACGGCAUGAUUGCAACCAUAUUUUCCUCACAUCAUCACCAGUAUUGCAGAGUAACCGGAUGCAGAGCACAAUCCUAU
rnacentral:misc_RNA from 1 species